UUUGACUGUUCUGUAUUACAGAAGGCUGCUGUAAAAAUUUCUGGUGUCUCCGCCUCCCAUGCCUUUCUGUUAGCUCCAGAUUCCCCAGUUAACCUCUUAGGCAGAGAUCUGUUGUGUAAACUACGUGCUCAAAUUUUCUUUUCAGAUGACAAAAUCAUUCUUCGGUUGCCUCAAACCCAACUUCCCCAGCUGUGUGCUGUUCUGACUCAAGUUUCAAAGAACCCAAUCCUGCCUGCGGACCCGAUUCUACCAGAGCAACUCAGACAGGAGUAUUCCUCUAGAUAAGAACAGCUGGGGCCACGCUUACCAAUUCAAUUUGAGUCCCUACCCGCUGAUGUUCCUGCCCACUGGAUCGCUCCAGGAGACUGGGUCUAUGUAAAAGAAUGGAAACACAAGCCUCUCCAACCCUGGUGGGCGGGACCUUUCCAAGUCCUUCUUACCUCUCACACCGCCAUUCAAGUGAAAGAGCGAAACACUUGGAUACACCACACCUGAGUCAAGCUAGCCCCUAGGACGGGGCCAAAAGCAAACGACUUCGGACCUUGAGGGAGCACCGCCAGCUCUUCCCACCGCAACCCGGAAAAGCCAGAAGCAGACAAUACCUGGAAAGCUAAACCUCUU